rnacentral:rRNA from 1 species
UAUCCUACGGGACGCAGCAGUGAGGAAUAUUGGUCAAUGGGCGCGAGCCUGAACCAGCCAAGUCGCGUGAGGGAGGACGGCCCUACGGGUUGUAAACCUCUUUUGCCGGGGAGCAACGGGCGUCACGUGUGGCGCCACUGAGAGUACCCGGAGAAAAAGCAUCGGCUAACUCCGUGCCAGCAGCCGCGGUAAUACGGAGGAUGCGAGCGUUAUCCGGAUUUAUUGGGUUUAAAGGGUGCGUAGGCGGCAUUAUAAGUUAGUGGUAAAAUAUUGGGGCUUCACCUCACUACGCCAUUAAUACUGUA